rnacentral:rRNA from 1 species
GACGAACGCUGGCGGCGUGCUUAACACAUGCAAGUCGAACGGAAAGGCCUCUUUCGGGGGGUACUCGAGUGGCGAACGGGUGAGUAACACGUGAGUAACCUGCCCUUGACUUUGGGAUAACUUCAGGAAACUGGGGCUAAUACCGGAUAGGAGCUCCUGCUGCCUGGUGGGGGUUGGAAAGUUUCGGCGGUUGGGGAUGGACUCGCGGCUUAUCAGCUUGUUGGUGGGGUAGUGGCUUACCAAGGCUUUGACGGGUAGCCGGCCUGUGAGGGUGACCGGCCACAUUGGGACUGAGAUACGGCCCAGACUCCGACGGGAGGCAGCAGUGGGGAAUAUUGCACAAUGGGUGGAAGCCUGAUGCAGCAGCGCCGUGGGCGGGAUGACGGCCUUCGGGUUGUAAACCGCUUUCGCUCAUGACGAAGCUUUGUGUGACGGUAGUGGGUAAAGAAGCACCGGCUAACUACGUG